rnacentral:tRNA from 10 species
CGCGGGGUGGAGCAGUCCGGUAGCUCGUCGGGCUCAUAACCCGAAGGUCGUCAGUUCAAAUCUGGCCCCCGCAACCA